GUCUUUGUGGUGUAAUGGUCAGCACGCUCGGCGCGUAUUCGAGAGGUCCGUGGUUCGAGUCCCGGCGAGAGCA
rnacentral:tRNA from 1 species